UAGGGAAUCUUCGGCAAUGGGGGCAACCCUGACCGAGCAACGCCGCGUGAGUGAAGAAGGUUUUCGGAUCGUAAAGCUCUGUUGUAAGAGAAGAACGUGUGUGAGAGUGGAAAGUUCACACAGUGACGGUAACUUACCAGAAAGGGACGGCUAACUACGUGCCAGCAGCCGCGGUACUACGUAGGUCCCGAGCGUUGUCCGGAUUUAUUGGGCGUAAAGCGAGCGCAGGCGGUUUAAUAAGUCUGAAGUUAAAGGCAGUGGCUUAACCAUUGUACGCUUUGAAAACUGUUAAACUUGAGUGCAGAAGGGGAGAGUGGAAUUCCAUGUGUAGCGGAGAAAUGCGUAGAUAUAUGGAGGAACACCGGUGGCGAAAGCGGCUCUCUGGUCUGUAACUGACGCUGAGGCUCGAAAGCGUGGGGAGCAAACAGG
rnacentral:rRNA from 1 species